AGGGUUUGAUUAUGGCUCAGGAUGAACGCUGGCGGCGUGCUUAACACAUGCAAGUCGAACGAAGCACUUUAUUUGAUUUCCUUCGGGACUGAUUAUUUUGUGACUGAGUGGCGGACGGGUGAGUAACGCGUGGGUAACCUGCCUUGUACAGGGGGAUAACAGUUGGAAACGGCUGCUAAUACCGCAUAAGCGCACGGCAUCGCAUGAUGCAGUGUGAAAAACUCUGGUGGUAUAAGAUGGACCCGCGUUGGAUUAGCUAGUUGGUGAGGUAACGGCCCACCAAGGCGACGAUCCAUAGCCGACCUGAGAGGGUGACCGGCCACAUUGGGACUGAGACACGGCCCAA
rnacentral:rRNA from 1 species